rnacentral:rRNA from 1 species
UAAUUGAAGAGUUUGAUCAUGGCUCAGAUUGAACGCUGGCGGCAGGCCUAACACAUGCAAGUCGGGCGGUAACAGGGGGAAGCUUGCUUCUCUGCUGACGAGCGGCGGACGGGUGAGUAAUGUAUGGGGAUCUGCCUGAUGGAGGGGGAUAACUACUGGAAACGGUAGCUAAUACCGCAUAAUGUCUUCGGACCAAAGCGGGGGACCUCCGGGCCUCGCGCCAUCAGAUGAACCCAUAUGGGAUUAGCUUGUAGGUGA